rnacentral:tRNA from 1 species
GCUACAGUGGUCUAAUGGCUUAGGACACUCGUACGGAAUUCAAGAGAUUCGGGUUCAAGUUCCGGCUGAGGUA